ensembl:lncRNA
UACUGGUAAAAUGGCUGUCAAUGGUCUCUGAUCUUCUGUUACUCAAUAGCUUGAUCAUUCUGUGUUCUCCAAGGAACAUAUCAUUUAUUCUUAUUAAUCUGGCUAGUAUGACAAUGUAAAUGAUGUCAAUCUGGCAUGAAAAACCUUAGCAUUUAUAUUUAUCUCGUGAGAAGGACAAUGUUGGUUCAGUGUGUGUGUGUUUGUGUGUAUAUGUAUGCCUAUACGCCAUGAAAGUGACUCGCUACUACAUCAUUCUUCCGGAGUCAGUCCCCUAAUUAUUUUGAAUGGGCUUGGCGAUUAUAUAUUACAUUUGUAAAAAUGCAGUUGUUUAAAAUAUAUAUUUAUCAGAAUAUAUUUGUGAUUGUGGCUGUAUUUAAUCAUGCCAGAUGCCUUUUAAUAUAAUGUUGCACUGACGAACAUUGCGCUACAUUUUUGCCCUUUUAAGGCCAUUCAAAAAGCAAACAAACAUUAGAUAACUACAGGGCUACUUCCUUGAAAAUGUUGCUGCACUUUCGAUGCAAGGUAACACAACCAUUGGAACAAUGUGUUGUUGUUUCGUAAACUCCAUGUUCAGUUGGAAGAGAGCACGGACGGCCAGCGAUCAAGCGUCAGGGUCAUAUACACCACAAGUCUCUGUGGCGCAAUUGGUUAGUGCGUUAGACUGUUAAUCUAAAGGUUGGUGGUUCGAGGCCACCCAGGGAUGACAGUGUGUUGUGCUCCAUGAUGUGGAUGUGACAUCCUGGACCUCUAAUGAAAUUUUCAGUUCUUUUGGCCUGCUGAGGGUCAAUGCCAACACAGGCCUCUCAAGUGCAACCAAACAGUUAGCUUGUUUGACUGUCAAUCUCAAGUUUGGAGCUUCGACACCACCCAGGGAUGACAUUUUUCAGAUUGUAGAGAUGUGAACUGACCCUUCCUGACUUGUUGUGAGCUUCCACGAGACUAUGGCCUGCUGAGGGUCAGUAUAACCACAAGUCUCUUUGGUGCAAUUUGUUGGCGCGUUAGACUCUUAAUUUAAAAAUGGGUGAUUUGAGCCCACCAAGGGAUGCGGUCCUUCCGUUUCUAGCGAUAUGGAAGACCUUCCUGGACUUACAGUAAGCUUGCUUUUGACCUGCUGUGUUUCCUGUUGUCACAUGUGAUUGGUGUGUUGUUGAACAUGAAAGAUGAC